GACGAACGCUGGCGGCGUGCUUAACACAUGCAAGUCGAACGGAAAGGCCCUGCUUUUGUUGGUUUCUCGAUUGGCGAACGGGUGAGUAACACGUGAGUAACCUGCCCUUGACUUUGGGAUAACUUCAGGAAACUGGGGCUCAUACCGGAUAUGAGCUCCUGCUGCAUGUUGGGGGUUGGAAAGUUUCGGCGGUUGGGGAUGGACUCGCGGCUUAUCAGCUUGUUGGUGGGGUAGUGGCUUACCAAGGCUUUGACGGGUAGCCGGCCUGAGAGGGUGACCGGCCACAUUGGGACUGAGAUACGGCCCAGAAUCCUACGGGAGGCAGCAGUGGGGAAUAUUGCACAAUGGGCGGAAGCCUGAUGCAGCAACGCCGCGUGCGGGAUGACGGCCUUCGGGUUGUAAACCGCUUUCGCCUGUGACGAAGAGUGAGUGACGGUAAUGAGUAAAGAAGCACCGGCUAACUACGUG
rnacentral:rRNA from 1 species